GAAAUGGAGCAUCUUUUGUUUGGCGUGCGAUGUGUAAACAGUUUUGUUUGGCGUGUUGUUUAUUCGUACACGUUCAUUUUGCGUGCUUUAGCACGCGAUCUGAAACAGUGAUGUUACGUUAGCGUCAAGUAAUUCCUUUUUGAUGGAUUACGAACGCGGAUGUCCAAAAACAAGGAGUUAUUUCCACGUCGUCGGCUGCCGUCCGUCAACCUGCACAACAAAAGGAUCGGAGAGGUUUUGGAUGAGUACACAGCCACUAGAAGCAUCCGGACAAAUGCGAGCGCACUCGCUCGACAAGCACACAUGGAAAAAUACAACUCUUACUCGUCGGCCAACAGGAGCAUCACAGACCAGCGUGGGGAUUCUAAAGGGGGGAGAAGAAAAAAAAGGCUCUUGGAUCCAGUCGAAGUCGUGUGGACCUUUAAAAAAAAAAAAAAAAAAAGACCAUGUUGAGGAGUUCAUUUUUGUGCAGGAGAUGCGAUUGAACUCACGUGACCUCGAUGGCGUCAACUUCUCAAUUCACAACACCUAAAAAUCUGCACACUCAUUUGGAUGAGUCUGUCCACCUGAAAUGAGUAAACAUUCAGUGACGUCGACGAGCGCCUUGCAGCCUCUUCCACUCCUGCCAGGACAACAGUUCUGAGAGAAGAGGGAACGGUGGAGGAUUUGGCAAUCCGCCUCCAUGACGGCAAGGAGCCCUGCACACAAAAUAAGAAGCAGCGUGCUCAAACCCUGUAGACGUGGCCUCCCACGUCCAUCUUGAUGAAAUCAAACCAGGUGGUUCUCGUGACUGCGCACAAGGGAAAGAGGGGGGGGGGACUAUUAGAAAUGGCCAUCGCAAAUGAUUUCAGGCGUCCUUACCUUGGACAUUGCAUCUCCUCGACACGUGCUGAAAGAAAUUAAAAGACUAAAUGAGAUUUGCACGCGUUGGUGCAUGUGUUUGCUUGUUUCACCUGUGAUCCGAGGCGGACAUCUUGACAGUGGCCUGCAACAGAAAAGGUAAAACAAUUGGUAAGCUAAUUCGGUCGUUUAGAAUCAAUUUGCCCAUUCGCUUUAAGAUGAGAACCUGCGGACAAAAAUAGAAUACUUGAUUAGUUUUAAUGGUAAUCGUGAGUUUUUCCCGCAGCUUACCUCCGGUCAAACGGCGCUCUUGUCCACAGAUGUCGGAAAUAUUGGCGUCAAUCCUGUGAGGAGAAAGUGCAAUUUACUCACAGAACAUGGUUCGAUGUAUUUAAGUUUGUACCUCAUUCAGUUAAACGCCUGCAUUUGUUUGUAUUCGUCGAAUGAAUGUCUUAUUAGCACGCUCUUGUUCCCUCGAAGUAGACCGCCGCCGUCCUGCAAACAAACAUAAAAAACACGCUGGCGAGCUUUUAGCACGCUCAAAACGUGAAUUAGUGUCAAAAAGAAAUGAAAAAGUAGCAAUUGGGAGGUUAAAGAAUGAUUUGGAUGACUUACUUUGUGGUAACGUGCGGAGCGCGGCAAUCAGGUGGCGACGAGAGCUGGCAGCAGGAUGGAAAAGAACGAGUGCUCAAUUUCUUGCAGCUUAAAUACGUUUCCGGCAAUGACGUCAUCGUUAAACUAAAAAGAAAUAGGAAAAGUCCACAUCGAGUGAAAAAACGGUGACGAAUUUAAAAGCGGUAAUCGCUGGACGCGAACCCGCUACGCUCGCUUGCACGGGCCAGACCUUAACCACAAGGCUACAACGGAGAUGACGUAAACAAUAUGUGUUUCUGUAUUAUACCUACAACACAGUAUGAACACAGGUCCUCAUGGCUAAAAUAAAGGAUGAAUAUAACUUCCGAUACGGUGUGUGAGCGUGGCACGUUGGCCGAAUGGUUACAUUCUUGGCCAUAGGUCCGCUCGUAUCCAGGUUCGACGAAUGCGGGACUAUGUCGGAAUCGUACCCUGGUUGACUGGGUGGAAGUCAAUAGUUUUAACCAUUCGGCCAUCUGAGAUCGGGUUCCGCGGGAAAAAUAUUCAAUAUUCAUAGUAUUACUACACCGACAAGUAGCACCAGGAAUCCAUACUAUAAUUGGCAAUAGAAUUUAUAGAAAUUAGCAAUGACUAGAAUCACCUAGGUCAACAUUUUGUCUUCACUCCUUCCACACGUUACACCCACCCAGUGCCUACAACUGAGUCUCUCCAUCCUUCCUUCACUCACGAUACUCCAUUUUAGUGAAGGACCUCAUCCAUGACCUGGACAGGGCAUAACACCUUAUUCCCAUUGAGGACCAUGCUCUCAUAUUUGGAAGUGUUUAUUCUCAGCCCGAGUGCUUCAUAACUGUAUACAUAUGGAGUGUCCCAUUACAUGAAAUGUCUCUUCUCUAUCAUCACGUGUGUUGUGUUUGUGAUGUGGACUUUGUGAUGUGAUGUGUGCUGGCAGUUAACGGGGCGCUCAACCGUUGAGCCGAGACACACCAUCAUAUUUCAUCCUAAUGCAUCCAAGGUGACCUCGGACAUAUUAACAUUUUUUGUCCCCCGUUUGGGCUGAUGCCAUUUUGUGGGUCAUCACUGGACAGCAUUUUGAUGAGCAAUCAAUGAUCAACUGCAGCAUAUAAAACAUUUUUUCAUCUUUCCAAUUCGCUGUCAUGCAUUUGGUUUGGACGUUUUUCACUGUCAAAGGCAUUGAAACGUCACAAUUUGGAUUUCUGUCAAAAACGGUCGGUCCAAAGCGUGAAUAUUUUACAAUGCCUCAAAAGUAGGAUCAAAAGCACAAUCUAAAUGCGUUGGACGAACAACUUGCACUGCCACAACAGUAAA